rnacentral:rRNA from 1 species
AAUCAACGCUGGCGGCGUGCCUCAGACAUGCAAGUCGAACGCGAAAGUCCCCUUCGGGGGACAAGUAGAGUGGCGCACGGGUGAGUAACACGUAGGUAAUCUACCUUCGGAUGGGGAAUAACAACCGGAAACGGUUGCUAAUACCGCAUAAUGCAGCGGCACCUAAUGGUGACAGUUGUUAAAGCGGGGGAUCGAAAGACCUCGCGUCUGAAGAGGAGCCUGCGGCGGAUUAGCAGUUGGUAAGGUAACGGCUUACCAAGGCGACGAUCCGUAGCCGGCCUGAGAGGGCGGUCGGCCACACUGACACUGACAUACGGGUCAGACUCCUACGGGAGGCAGCAGUCGGGAAUUUGGGCAAUGGGCGAAAGCCUGACCCAGCAACGCCGCGUGAAGGAU